UUGAAAAGUGAGCGGAUGAACUGAGGGUAGCGGAGAAAUUCCAAUCGAACCUGGAGAUAGCUGGUUCUCUCCGAAAUAGCUUUAGGGCUAGCCUCAAGUGAUGAUUAUUGGAGGUAGAGCACUGUUUGGACGAGGGGCCCCUCUCGGGUUACCGAAUUCAGACAAACUCCGAAUGCCAAUUAAUUUAACUUGGGAGUCAGAACAUGGGUGAUAAGGUCCGUGUUCGAAAGGGAAACAGCCCAGACCACCAGCUAAGGUCCCAAAAUAUAUGUUAAGUGGAAAAGGAUGUGGCGUUGCCCAGACAACUAGGAUGUUGGCUUAGAAGCAGCCAUCAUUUAAAGAGUGCGUAAUAGCUCACUAGUCGAGUGACACUGCGCCGAAAAUGUACCGGGGCUAAACAUAUUACCGAAGCUGUGGAUUGUCCUUUGGACAAUGGUAGGAGAGCGUUCUAAGGGCGUUGAAGCAUGAUCGUAAGGACAUGUGGAGCGCUUAGAAGUGAGAAUGCCGGUGUGAGUAGCGAAAGACGGGUGAGAAUCCCGUCCACCGAUUGACUAAGGUUUCCAGAGGAAGGCUCGUCCGCUCUGGGUUAGUCGGGUCCUAAGCUGAGGCCGACAGGCGUAGGCGAUGGAUAACAGGUUGAUAUUCCUGUACCACCUAUAAUCGUUUUAAUCGAUGGGGGGACGCAGUAGGAUAGGCGAAGCGUGCGAUUGGAUUGCACGUCUAAGCAGUAAGGCUGAGUAUUAGGCAAAUCCGGUACUCGUUAAGGCUGAGCUGUGAUGGGGAGAAGACAUUGUGUCUUCGAGUCGUUGAUUUCACACUGCCGAGAAAAGCCUCUAGAUAGAAAAUAGGUGCCCGUACCGCAAACCGACACAGGUAGUCAAGAUGAGAAUUCUAAGGUGAGCGAGCGAACUCUCGUUAAGGAACUCGGCAAAAUGACCCCGUAACUUCGGGAGAAGGGGUGCUCUUUAGGGUUAACGCCCAGAAGAGCCGCAGUGAAUAGGCCCAAGCGACUGUUUAUCAAAAACACAGGUCUCUGCUAAACCGUAAGGUGAUGUAUAGGGGCUGACGCCUGCCCGGUGCUGGAAGGUUAAGAGGAGUGGUUAGCUUCUGCGAAGCUACGAAUCGAAGCCCCAGUAAACGGCGGCCGUAACUAUAACGGUCCUAAGGUAGCGAAAUUCCUUGUCGGGUAAGUUCCGACCCGCACGAAAGGCGUAACGAUUUGGGCACUGUCUCAACGAGAGACUCGGUGAAAUCAUAGUACCUGUGAAGAUGCAGGUUACCCGCGACAGGACGGAAAGACCCCGUGGAGCUUUACUGUAGCCUGAUAUUGAAAUUCGGCACAGCUUGUACAGGAUAGGUAGGAGCCUUUGAAACGUGAGCGCUAGCUUACGUGGAGGCGCUGGUGGGAUACUACCCUAGCUG
rnacentral:rRNA from 1 species